GGGCCCGCACAAGCGGUGGAGUAUGUGGUUUAAUUCGACGCAACGCGCAGAACCUUACCCAGGCUUGACAUCCCGAGAAUCCGGCCCAAAAGCUGGAGUGCUAGCAAUAGAACUCGGUGACAGGUGCUGCAUGGCUGUCGUCAGCUCGUGUCGUGAGAUGUUGGGUUAAGUCCCGCAACGAGCGCAACCCUCGUCUUUAGUUGCCACCAUUCAGUUGGGCACUCUAGAGAGACUGCCGGUGUUAAACCGGAGGAAGGUGGGGAUGACGUCAAGUCCUCAUGGCCCUUACGCCUGGGGCUACACACGUACUACAAUGGCCGCUACAAUCCGUUGCAAGACCGCGAGGUGGAGCCAAUCGGAAAAAAGCGGCCUCAGUUCAGAUUGCAGUCUGCAACUCGACUGCAUGAAGGCGGAAUCGCUAGUAAUCGCAGAUCAGCAAGCUGCGGUGAAUACGUUCCCGGGCCUU
rnacentral:rRNA from 1 species